rnacentral:rRNA from 1 species
CCUACGGGGGGCAGCAGUGGGGAAUAUUGGACAAUGGGCGAAAGCCUGAUCCAGCCAUGCCGCGUGUGUGAAGAAGGCCUUCGGGUUGUAAAGCACUUUCAGUGGGGAAGAAAGCCUUGGGGCUAAUACCCUCGAGGAAGGACAUCACCCACAGAAGAAGCACCGGCUAACUCCGUGCCAGCAGCCGCGGUAAUACGGAGGGUGCGAGCGUUAAUCGGAAUUACUGGGCGUAAAGCGCGCGUAGGCGGUCUGAUAAGCCGGUUGUGAAAGCCCCGGGCUCAACCUGGGAACGGCAUCCGGAACUGUCAGGCUAGAGUGCAGGAGAGGAAGGCAGAAUUCCCGGUGUAGCGGUGAAAUGCGUAGAGAUCGGGAGGAAUACCAGUGGCGAAGGCGGCCUUCUGGACUGACACUGACGCUGAGGUGCGAAAGCGUGGGUAGCAAACAGGAUUACAUACCCCAGUAGUC